rnacentral:misc_RNA from 1 species
AAGUCGUAACAAGGUUUCCGUAGGUGAACCUGCGGAAGGAUCAUUAUCAUAACGUAUCCACGUAUAAACCAAUUUUAUAAUGUGAAUUGUAAUGUUUUACAACCUUUGAUAGUUAAAUGAUUGCUAUUUUGUUUCUUCUAUUAUAUUGAUUAAGGAAACAUGAUAGACUUGGUUUGUGGAGAGAGAGAGAGACAGGAUGAGAGUCCUCUAUCUUUCCCCCCCGCAAACCUAGCUUUAACAAUCGAAGUGUAAUUUUAUUAAUCAAUAUAUUAUUAACCAAUUGAACCGAAUUAACUUAAUUGUUAUUCAUAUUUCUUUAUAGUGAACUGAAUUGUUCUUUACCCUAUCGUAACUGAUAGAGAAAGGAUUAUAUUUACGAAACAUAAAUUAUGAACAACUCUUAGCAACGGAUAUCUUGGUUCUCGUAAAGAUGAAGAACGCAGC